GUUUUGAGCACUGAGGCAGAUCGAGUGAUUCAGGAGAAGAAAAAGCAGCUUUUCACUGUCAAACUGAACAGUGAAGUCACGUGACGGUACCACAACAGAACACAUCAGAUCAGGAGCAGUAAGGGCACCUCUGUGAGAUCUGUUAAUGAAGAUGUAAAUGUCAGCCGCUGGGAAGAGAAGUGCUUUGAAGCCAGUUACAGGCAGAUGCUGCUUAGCUUUAAUGGGCAACAAAUACAGGUGCCAUCAACCAGCCAGCAGAGGUUGUAAUUGCAUCAGUUAUGAGGAAUCCCCUCCGAACCCUCCCUGAACAACGAGCCGAUCAUUGUUCGUGUAGGUGCCCCCUGCUGGUAGCAGAGCUGAGAUUCAAACCAACGACUUGGAAAUGUUAGCUCUGAUGUGCUAGCGUGUUUUCCCUGUGUGUUCCAUGUCCCAUGAUGCCAUGUGGCCAGAGCCAAAAGUGGGUUUUGUGUUUAGAAUGGCAUUUUUGCUUUGUUAUGAUGUAUUUAAUGGUGUGUUUUGUGGUUGUGCUUAUGUUAAAUUUGUAAGUUACCGUUUUCGUAAAGUGUGUUGUGUGUGUUGAUGGCGUGUACCCGCUCUGCGCUUGUUUAGACAUAGCGGGUCUCCAUAGUGGUCUGUGUAUUUAGAUUUGUGCUAUGUAACUGAUUCAGAAGCAAAUGAAUAAAGAGCGCUGCCUCCUAUUUAGUUAAACAUCCUUGUAAAAAUAGAUGGCUGUAUCAUCCUCUUCAAAACAAACUCCUUUAGAUUUGCAUGCAUUUGCAUGAGAUAAGACAGAAAUAUUUCCUUCUGACCUACUUAAAGUGAAAUAAAGCAUCAGAGCACAUUCAUUAAAGUCAUCUGCCAUAAAUUUGAAGUCAUUAUUUCUGGCUUUCAUAUCAGUGCUCAGGAUUAUAUACGAUACAAAUCUGAUAGAUUGGAGCGUGUUACACACUUAUACACUUCCUAAUCAUCUUAAUCUUAAAUCCUCUUGAUAUUAGAAA